rfam:Oryza nivara chromosome 2, whole genome shotgun sequence.
GGUUCCAUAGUGUAGUGGUUAGCACUCCAGACUUUGAAUCUGGCAACCUGGGUUCAAAUCCCGGUGGGACCU